rnacentral:lncRNA from 1 species
GGAGAAUGCGCGGGUCGAGUGCUGUAGUUCGAUUUUUGCGUGUGUGCGUUGCUUGCGGCCUUUGUGCCUUUUUAUUCUUUGCUUACCUUUAUGAUAUAAAGACCUUAUUUCUUACAAGGAGGAAAAGACCGCUGACUUCAGAAACAGCGGGAACCCCAGCUCGUCCCCGGUAAUUCAAGAGGAAACGCUUGAGCAAUUACUGAUGUUGUAAACUGGGAUCAGAAGACAUACAUGGUAUCGUAUCCCAGGCAAGGCACAGUGGCUCACACCUGUAAUCCCAGCACUUUGGGAGGCUGAAGAAGGCAGAUCACUUGAGGUCAGGAGUUCGAGACCAGCCUGGCUUACAUGGUGAAACCCAUCUCUACUGAACAUACAAAAAUUAGCUGGACAUGAUGGUUAGCUGCACCUCUACUCCACGUGUUCCUCCCUUCAGGUCCCAGGCUGAUGGAGUAGCCUCUGUGUGUUUGGGAUGUUGUCAGUCAUAAUGGUGGACACAAAAGAGAUUAUGACAAACCGUGUAUUGUCUCCUACAAUUUCUGCUCACAGAAGUGGACAACAUCACUUCUUUCCACAUUUCAUUGACCAGAGCAAGUCAUGUGACCAAGCCUGAUUCAAAAUAGGCUGGAGCAAGGAGGAGCAGCAAACAUAACAUUCCCAGUUUACAGCUGAGGAAAUUAAGCUUCAAGUUGCCCAAGUUUAUAGAAUGAGUCAAUGGCAGAGGUUGAACUCAGAUGACAAAAUUGGGGUCUGGACGUGUGCAAGGACUUUUCCAAAGUCAGCUGGAAAGGAGCUGCUUAGCUGAGAGGUUCUGGCUCCAGAGUCUCCUGUGAAGUUGCAGUCAAGAUGUCUGCUGGGACCCCAGUCAUUUGAAGCCCUGUCUGGGGCAGGAGAAUCUAGGUCCAAAAUGGCCGUUGCAGGAGUCCUUAUCCACACCAUGUGGGACCUCUUCAUAGAUGUUCGAGUGUCCUCAUGGCAUGGCCACUGGCUUUCCCCAAAGUAAGCAGUCCAAAAGAGGGUAAGACAGAGCCCACACUGUCUUUUAUGAAUUAGCCUUAGAAGUCUAACACGGUUACUUCCACCACAUUCAUUAGUCGUUAGGUACAGCUCACAUUCAUGGGGAGGAAAAUCAGGGCCUGUCUUUAGAUAGGAGAUGUAUCAAAGAAUUUGUGGACAUAUUUUAAAAUCACAGCACUACUCUUGAUGUACUAAGUCAGUGACUCCCCCAGGAGUCUCACAGAGAAUUGACUCCUUGCCCACCUAUACUACCUUUGUGGGUAGAGACUCCAGUAGUGUGCUGGUUAAUGUUCAACCAGUGGCUUUCUAGAAAACAAAAUGUAUGGAUACAUAUAUAUGUUCUAAGUUUUACUGAUAUGAAGAAUGUGUAGCACAGAAUUUAUAAAUAAUAAAAUAUACAGUAUUAUUUAUUGUAAAUUCCAUAAAACCUGUUGUUUUUCACAAAAGGUUUUAGUUUAUUUUUCCCAAAUGCUUGUAUUGGUAACAUUUUCUGUAUUACCUUUUUAUGUCCAGACAAUCAACAAAACUGAAAAAGCCCAGCCUUGUAGCAUUUGCCAGUUAUUGUGUAAAUGUCCCCACUAUGGUGGAUUUCAGGUUACCACUAUGAUAUCACAGAAUGCAGAAUUGGAAGGAGAUUCACAGCAGCACCCCAUUAUACUAUAUUUUCACCAUACAGAUGCAGUCGAUGUAAAUUACCUGAGGAGCAUAAAUAAUAAUAAAAUGAAGUUAAAUAAUUCGG